rnacentral:lncRNA from 1 species
CAAAAUUCUAAGUUUUCAAAGGUUUUGUAUAGAAGAACUAUACAAAUCCUUGGUAUUUCUAUUUUCUUUUCUUCAUCAGCAAAACAGUAAAAUGACCCCUUGUCUGACGGAGGGUUGUUCUCAACCUGAUAAUAACAAACACAGGUCAAAGUACGGCUUUUUAAACAGGGCUUUGAUACAGACCAAACAGCAAGCUAUAAAGGACCCCAAAAUUAUUAGCGCACACAAUUCAAACAGGAAAACCAACGAUCUAAUUUAUCCAAACGGGAAAAUACCAAUGAACAACAUCAACAAACAUGAAACGAUAACUGCUGAACGACAGGCCCCUGAAUCAAUCAGUACAUGUGCAUAAACAUGCUGCGGCUAUGGAUAGUUUUGUUUCGCCAGCAUACAAUAUAAUUGCAGUUGAAG